GACGAACGCUGGCGGCGUGCUUAACACAUGCAAGUCGAACGGAAAGACCCUGCUUUUGUGGGGUGCUCGAUUGGCGAACGGGUGAGUAACACGUGAGUAACCUGCCCUUGACUUUGUGAUAACUUCAGGAAACUGGGGCUCAUACCGGAUAGGAGCUCCUGCUGCAUGGUGGGGGUUGGAAAGUUUCGGCGGUUGGGGAUAGACUGGCUGCUUAUCAGCUGGUUGGUGGGGUAGUGGCUUACGAAGGCUUUGACGGGUAGCCGGCCUGAGAGGGUGACCAGGGACAUGGCGACUGAGAGACGGCGCAGACUGCUAUGGGACGCAGCAGUGGGGAAUAUGACACAAUGGGGGGGAGUCUGAGGCAGCAACCCCGCGAGCGUGAUGCCGGGUUUCGGGGGGUAAACAGCUUUGUACUGUGACGAAGCGUGAGUGACGGUAAUGGGUAAAGAAGCAACGGCUAACUACGUG
rnacentral:rRNA from 1 species